GAUGAAGAACGUAGCGAAAUGCGAUAAGUAAUGUGAAUUGCAUAAUUCAGUGAAUCAUCGAAUCUUUGAACGCACAUUGCGCCCGCCAGUAUUCUGGCGGGCAUGCCUGUUCGAGCGUCAUUUCAACCAUCAAGCCCCCGGCUUGUGUUGGGGACCUGCGGCUGCCGCAGGCCCUGAAAACCAGUGGCGGGCUCGCUGUCACACCGAGCGUAGUAGAUUUUCAUCUCGCUCAGGGCGUGCUGCGGGUUCCGGCCGUAAAAAGCCUUAUUUACCCAAGGUUGACCUCGGAUCAGGUAGGAAGACCCGCUGAACUUAAGCAUAUCAAUAAGCGGAGGA
rnacentral:misc_RNA from 1 species